UCCCUGGUGGCUCAGAUUAGUAAAGAAUCUGCCUGCAAUGCAGGAGACCCAGGUUUGAUCCCUGGGUUGGGAA
rnacentral:tRNA from 1 species